UACCAGAAGAAACGGGAGUAUGCCCAUCUGGUCUGGAGGAGACAGAGGCUGGCAGCUUCAGGAACCUGACCUGGUUGUACUUCCCACACAGCUCCAUCCAGACUAGACAUUCUCAAGAUGUGAAGCUUCUCCUCCAAGAAGAUCCAAAUAAAGAGGUUGGAAUGGCUGUGAAAAGCUUCUGUUGUGGUUGGUGGAAAAAAAAAAAAAAAAAAGAAAGGAAAUCUAGAAAUUUCGAGGAAAUUCAGUGCCUAAGUUCUUUAAGCAUAGGGAGAAGCUUGGUUUCUGUCAUCAGAGUACAGUGAAAAUCCAAGUGACCAAGAGAAUUGCUGAGACUCUCAGCCAUUUGAACAUGUGUAAACCUUCAGUUUACCAAAAAGGAAUCCAGUCGUGCAUCUGAAGACCUCACUUUUUACAUUGUCAAAAUGUCAGAAUGAUUUCAGAUGAAAGAUUUCUCUUUUCCUCCUGGUGUAUAUAAAACAAAAAUUAAAGACUU